AGUGAACGCUGGCGGUAGGCCUAACACAUGCAAGUCGAACGGCAGCACAGUAAGAGCUUGCUCUUACGGGUGGCGAGUGGCGGACGGGUGAGGAAUACAUCGGAAUCUACUUUUUCGUGGGGGAUAACGUAGGGAAACUUACGCUAAUACCGCAUACGACCUACGGGUGAAAGCAGGGGAUCUUCGGACCUUGCGCGAUUGAAUGAGCCGAUGUCGGAUUAGCUAGUUGGCGGGGUAAAGGCCCACCAAGGCGACGAUCCGUAGCUGGUCUGAGAGGAUGAUCAGCCAAACUGGAACUGAGACACGGUCCAGACUCCUACGGGAGGCAGCAGUGGGGAAUAUUGGACAAUGGGCGCAAGCCUGAUCCAGCCAUACCGCGUGGGUGAAGAAGGCCUUCGGGUUGUAAAGCCCUUUUGUUGGGAAAGAAAAGCAGCAGGUUAAUACCCCGCUGUUCUGACGGUACCCAAAGAAUAAGCACCGGCUAACUUCGUGC
rnacentral:rRNA from 1 species